rnacentral:rRNA from 1 species
CAGCCGCCGCGGUAAUACGAAGGGUGCAAGCGUUACUCGGAAUUACUGGGCGUAAAGCGUGCGCAGGCGGUUUUGUAAGACAGAGGUGAAAUCCCCGGGCUCAACCUGGGAACUGCCUUUGUGACUGCAAGGCUAGAGUACGGCAGAGGGGGAUGGAAUUCCGCGUGUAGCAGUGAAAUGCGUAGAUAUGCGGAGGAACACCGAUGGCGAAGGCAAUCCCCUGGGCCUGUACUGACGCUCAUGCACGAAAGCGUGGGGAGCAAACAGGAUUAGAUACCCCCGUAGUCCCUGUCUCUUAUAC